rnacentral:rRNA from 1 species
UGCCAUAAGAUGAGCCCAAGUGGGAUUAGGUAGUUGGUGGGGUAAAGGCCUACCAAGCCGACGAUCUCUAGCUGGUCUGAGAGGAUGACCAGCCACACUGGAACUGAGACACGGUCCAGACUCCUACGGGAGGCAGCAGUGGGGAAUAUUGCACAAUGGGGGGAACCCUGAUGCAGCCAUGCCGCGUGAAUGAAGAAGGCCUUCGGGUUGUAAAGUUCUUUCGGUGAUGAGGAAGGGUGAUGUUUUAAUAGAGCAUUACAUUGACGUUAGUCACAGAAGAAGCACCGGCUAACUCCGUGCCAGCAGCCGCGGUAAUACGGAGGGUGCGAGCGUUAAUCGGAAUGACUGGGCGUAAAGGGCACGCAGGCGGUGACUUAAGUGAGAUGUGAAAGCCCCGAGCUUAACUUGGGAAUUGCAUUUCAUACUGGGUGGCUAGAGUAUUUUAGGGAGGGGUAGAAUUCCACGUGUAGCGGUGAAAUGCGUAGAGAUGUGGAGGAAUACCGAAGGCGAAGGCAGCCCCUUGGGAAAAUACUGACGCUCAUGUGCGAAAGCGUGGGGAGCAAACAGGAUUAGAUACCCUGGUAGUCCACGCUGUAAACGCUGUCGAUUUGGGGAUUGGGCUU